rnacentral:rRNA from 1 species
UACGGGGGGGGUAAGCGUUGUUCGGAAUUACUGGGCGUAAAGGGCUCGUAGGCGGCCAACUAAGUCGGACGUGAAAUCCCUCAGCUUAACUGGGGAACUGCGUCCGAUACUGGAUGGCUUGGAUUUGGGAGAGGGAUGCGGAAUUCCAGGUGUAGCGGUGAAAUGCGUAGAUAUCUGGAGGAACACCGGUGGCGAAGGCGGCAUCCUGGACCAAUACUGACGCUGAGGAGCGAAAGCGUGGGGAGCAAACAGG